AGGGUAUACGUGGUGUUCUGGUA
rnacentral:miRNA from 1 species